rnacentral:rRNA from 1 species
AGAACGAACGCUGGCGGCGUGCCUAACACAUGCAAGUCGAGCGGGAAAGCCCGCAAGGGUGAGUACAGCGGCGCACGGGUGCGUAACACGUGGGUAAUCUGCCCUGAAGCUCGGAAUAACCUCCCGAAAGGGAAGCUAAUACCGGAUAAGACCACGGGAGCCUCGGCUCCUGCGGGAAAAGGUGGCCUCUGCAUGCAAGCUAUCACUUCAGGAUGAGCCCGCGGCCCAUCAGCUCGUUGGCGGGGUAACGGCCCACCAAGGCUACGACGGGUAGCUGGUCUGAGAGGACGAUCAGCCACACUGGAACUGAGACACGGUCCAGACUCCUACGGGAGGCAGCAGUGGGGAAUCUUGCGCAAUGGGCGAAAGCCUGACGCAGCAACGCCGCGUGUGUGAUGAAGGUCUUCGGAUCGUAAAGCACUGUCGGGAGGGACGAAUAAGGGCCGGGUGAACAAUCCGGUUCGAUGACGGUACCUCCAAAGGAAGCACCGGCUAACUCUGUGCCAGCAGCCGCGGUAAUACAGAGGGUGCAAGCGUUGUUCGGAAUUAUUGGGCGUAAAGCGCGUGUAGGCGGUCUCGCAAGUCGGAUGUGAAAGCCCUCGGCUUAACCGAGGAAGUGCGUUCGAAACUACGAGACUUGAGUACCGGAGAGGGUGGCGGAAUUCCCGGUGUAGAGGUGAAAUUCGUAGAUAUCGGGAGGAACACCAGUGGCGAAGGCGGCCACCUGGACGGCUACUGACGCUGAGACGCGAAAGCGUGGGGAGCAAACAGGAUUAGAUACCCUGGUAGUCCACGCUGUAAACGAUGAGCGCUAGGUGUUGUGGGUGUUGACCCCCGCAGUGCCGCAGCUAACGCAUUAAGCGCUCCGCCUGGGAAGUACGGCCGCAAGGCUAAAACUCAAA